rnacentral:rRNA from 1 species
GACGAACGCUGGCGGCGUGCUUAACACAUGCAAGUCGAACGGAAAGGCCCUGCUUUUGUGGGGUGCUCGAGUGGCGAACGGGUGAGUAACACGUGAGUAACCUGCCCUUGACUUUGGGAUAACUUCAGGAAACUGGGGCUAAUACCGGAUAGGAGCUCCUGCUGCAUGGUGGGGGUUGGACCGUUUCGGCGGUUGGGGAUGGACUCGCGGCUUAUCAGCUUGUUGGUUGGGUAGUGGCUUACCAAGGCUUUGACGGGUAGCCGGCAUGAGAGGGUGACCGGCCACAUUGGGACUGAGGUACGGCGCAGACUCCUACGGGAGGCAGCAGUGGGGAAUAUUGCACAAUGGGCGGAAGCCUGAUGCAGCAGCGCCGCGUGCGGGAUGACGGCCUUCGGGUUGUAAACCGCUUUCGCCUGUGACGAAGCAUGAGUGACGGUAAUGGGUAAAGAAGCACCGGCUAACUACGUG